GGUCUAUGAUGAUAAGAAGAAAGGCUUGUUUCUCAUAACAUUCGCAGUGGCCGCCUGAGGGCUUUCGCCUUGCCGGGCUUGAGAGCCAGUGCUGCUUUUAAACCUUCCUUGGAUGUCUGAGACC
rfam:Picea glauca, whole genome shotgun sequence.